AUUGAACGCUGGCGGCAUGCCUUACACAUGCAAGUCGAACGGCAGCGCGGGUGCUUGCACCUGGUGGCGAGUGGCGAACGGGUGAGUAAUACAUCGGAACAUGUCCUGUAGUGGGGGAUAGCCCGGCGAAAGCCGGAUUAAUACCGCAUACGAUCUACGGAUGAAAGCGGGGGACCUUCGGGCCUCGCGCUAUAGGGUUGGCCGAUGGCUGAUUAGCUAGUUGGUGGGGUAAAGGCCUACCAAGGCGACGAUCAGUAGCUGGUCUGAGAGGACGACCAGCCACACUGGGACUGAGACACGGCCCAGACUCCUACGGGAGGCAGCAGUGGGGAAUUUUGGACAAUGGGCGAAAGCCUGAUCCAGCAAUGCCGCGUGUGUGAAGAAGGCCUUCGGGUUGUAAAGCACUUUUGUCCGGAAAGAAAUCCUUGGCCCUAAUACGGUCGGGGGAUGACGGUACCGGAAGAAUAAGCACCGGCUAACUACGUG
rnacentral:rRNA from 1 species